UGACAAAACGUCAGUAUCCAUGGGGUUGU
rnacentral:piRNA from 1 species